GAUGAACGCUAGCGGCAGGCCUAAUACAUGCAAGUCGAACGAUAGAAGAGGGCUUGCUCUCUUCGAAAGUGGCGCACGGGUGCGUAACGCGUAUGCAACCUACCUUAAUCAGGGGGAUAGCCCGAAGAAAUUCGGAUUAACACCGCAUAAAAUCACAGUACAGCAUUGUACAAUGAUCAAAUAUUUAUAGGAUUAAGAUGGGCAUGCGUGACAUUAGCUAGUUGGCGGGGUAACGGCCCACCAAGGCGACGAUGUCUAGGGGAUCUGAGAGGAUGACCCCCCACACUGGUACUGAGACACGGACCAGACUCCUACGGGAGGCCGCAGUAAGGAAUAUUGGUCAAUGGAGGCAACUCUGAACCAGCCAUGCCGCGUGCAGGAAGACGGCCCUCUGGGUUGUAAACUGCUUUUAUUCGGGAAUAAACCUCAUUACGUGUAAUGAGCUGAAUGUACCGAAGGAAUAAGGAUCGGCUAACUCCGUGCCAGCAGCCGCGGUAA
rnacentral:rRNA from 1 species